UAUUAGAGACAAUUUAUGAAACAAGAAAUCUAUCAAUCCUUAGCUCCUUAAAAAAGCAAAAUAAUAGAAGGUAAGCCUCACUCAUAGCCUCAUUGGAGCUAUUUUACAAAUACAAGAAAGUCAGCACAAAUGGAGUUGUUGAAAACAAGUCAAUUUUGAACUAGAUUUGCUCACUAUACAAACAAAAAUCAGCUACUAUCAUAAGCGAAUUUAAUGGCAUGAGGUAUAGCUUCAUAGUUGGCAGAAAAAACCUAGAGCUAUAAAACCCAAAGAUUGGCGAAAGCAUGUCAAAACUCGGCCACAACAUCACAUUGAUUUACACGUAACACCAAUAGUAAACGAAAGGCCUGAAUCACAUUUUAAUAUAUAGCCCAUCCAUAUUAGCUUAAAAAAAUUAAAAAAAAAAAAUGUCAAACAUAUUGGCCUUAAUCAUCUAACUCAAAAUAGGAAGCUGUCAACGCAUGGAAGUGAAUUUAUCCAAUAGCUAGUGGAUUCCGUAACAAUGAAAUCUCAAGCAUUUUAGUCAUAAGUAACUACUCAUCUAUCCUCAGUGAAUAUUCUAAGAUGGUUCAAAAGAUAAAUUUUUAAAUGCACAUAUAAGUUAUCGGAGAAUUACACACACACACACACACACACACACACAUAUAUAUAUAUAAUCCAACCAAACAUGGAUAAUGCCAUAAGUAGCACUAACCACAGCCUCUUCUUCUUUUUGAAAAGAACAAACAUUAAAAUUUGAAAAAUUGCAUGUCAAAAUCCAUGCCGAAACCUUUGUCUUUGAUCAAUUUUAAUUUGAAGUAACCAAAAUGGGCUCAGAGAAACAUCAAAUGUUUUACAGUCUUUGACUGGAACGUAAUCUCUGUAACUGAAAGCAUACAAUUAUAUUACAAUAUACGAUGCAUUGCACCUCCAUUUCUAAUCGAGCGGUUAAUAAAUAAAUUAAAUGAUCGAAAACGUCAUCGUAUUGGGGGUUAGAUCAUUGCGUUAUGGGUUUUGAUAGUACGUGCUAACAAAAUACAAGACAGUGACUGGCUGGCGGAGAAGAAAGAGUGUUGUUAAGGAAGAGGUGGUAAAAUAUCCGCUCGGUUUGGAUCCGAACCGUACCCAGGUAUUGUGGGCCGGAUAUUAUUCGAUCUGGGUAUGAAGCUGGAUCGAUCUUGCACAUCACUUGAUAAACUCGGAAUUUAGAUUUUAUUAAAAAAAUAUUAUAAAAUAUAUAUUAUUUUAAAUAUUUAUAUUUAUUUGACUCAUUUAUUAUACAUAUAUAAAGUUUUAAACACUUAAAAUUUAUACUUUCAUAUCAAAUUUUAUUAAAAUAAUUUUAAAACUUAUAAAAUUACAAAAAAUAAAAAAUAUAUAUACAUAUAAUAUUAAAAAAUAUAAAAUUUACGCACCCAAAUUAAAACCCGACCUGAAUUCAGACCCGAACCGAUUAUAUUCGGACAAGAUCCAAUCAUUGUAAUACCAUACCCGGACCCGGCCCGAGAUUUUGCCAUCCCAAUAAGGAACCAACAAUGAACAAUCUGAGAUGGAUAUUAAAUAAAUAAAUAGGCUAUGAAUACAUGUCACAUGUGCCUUUUGUGAAUGCACUAAUCUAUGCCAGUCAACAGCUGCGAUUAUGAAUUUCUUUUUCCACCAACUAUGUGCACCGUCCAUCGCACUUUAUGUGACCGACUGAUCAUCGUCCACGUUUCUCACGGGGCCCGCUUCAGUAUCAAAGGAUAGUUGGCCCCACAAAAUAUGCGGAUAUGAUAGUGAUGUACAACAAAAUAUUUAGUCAAAAUUGUUCUAUUACGGUUUUAAACUUUUGAUAGUUCUCACUCUGGAAUUUCUUACGUGGUGAGCUGAUAAACAUCAUCUAAAAUAAAAUACUACUUAUUUU
rnacentral:lncRNA from 1 species